GUCAUGGGACCCACGCUUUUAGAAAAUUGUUCCAGAUGAUUCAGAAGACCAGCUGCAUGUAGGAAUUCCUGGUCUUGGGGUUCUUAUGGUGUCCCUGACUUGGGAUCCUUUGACUUUGCUGUUCAGCCCUAAGAGGAGUCAUCUGAAAAGUAACAAUUCCUCAUGGAACUUUUAAAAAGCUCUUGGAAACGUAUCCCAUUUCAGGAGAUUCCUCUAAUUUUUAGGUAAGGAAAUUGAGUAGAUAAGAGAUUUGCCUAAAGCCACUCUGUGACUUAAUAGCCAGUGGGAUCUACCCUCUUUUCUCCCUCAAGCUUCUGCCCUGGGUGGAUUCACCUACUGUGUAGGCAGGCCUGGGGCCCCAAGGGCUCUAUAUCGGGGGCCAACAACGUGCAGUUUCUGGGCUGAGGUUGGCAAAUGCUCUUCUCAAUUCUUUCGCUAUCAGUGCUCGGUGUUCAAUGCCAAGACCUCUCACCUGUGCCUUCCAGACUCUUGCUACUCAGAACAUGGCCUAGUGACCAGCAGUACCAAUGUCACCUGGGAACUUGCUAGAAAUUCUCUCAGACCCCUCCCCAGCCAUAAUGGAUCUGCCUUGUCGCAAGAGGCUGGAUGGUUCGCCUGUGUCAUAGAGCUCUGAUCUCCCCUCCACCUGCUGGACUCGCCCUCCUUUCUUUCUCAGCCUUGGCUCCCCAUCCUGCCUGGGAGCUCCACUGUCACCUCCCAGGCUUGGCCUGGGUCUCUGAACGUCCAUCUCUGUGCCAUCAGCUUCGUCACCAACAGCGUUUUUCUGCUCAUCUGUCUGUGGAGACUCACAUGGCUGGGGAGCUGCCACCGGGCAAGAAAAAAGCCAAGAAUGCUCACAGGAGAGAACAGGUUACAAAAUACAGCAUGCGUAAGGAAUGAAAAAAACGGGAAAAAAAAACCCUCCAAGUACAGUUGCACGAUGAUUAUCCGUUAGAUGGAACUAGGAGAAGCUCAGAAUCCCUUCCUUCUGGCGUUUACUGUCUUCAUCUAUCAUCAGGAAAGAGUUUGAACCUCUUGUCAUAGCCAAAAUCUCUUCAAACUGACUAUAGAUUAUUCCAGAAUGAUCAUGUUUUCUGUCCUGUGGCUCACCUUCUUUUGCAACCAGGAGUUGAAGACUAUCAAUGCUGCUGUAGAUUCUGCCUUCCAGCUUUCUGCACAGUUCCGUGGCCCCUGGCCACAUGAGGCCGUUAAGCACUUGGAACGUGGCUAGUCCAAACCGAGAUGUGCCCUAAGUACAAAUACACUCUGGGUUUCUAGGACUUCGUAUGAAAAAAAGAAUGCAAGGCAUCAGUUAUGAUGUUUAUGUUGAUCACAUGUUAUUUUGAUCACAUAAUAUUUUGGAAAUAUCGGGUC
rnacentral:lncRNA from 1 species